CUCACCACUAUAACUGUUCCUAUGGAAAUACAACUCACCACUAUAACAUUUCCUCUGGAAAUACAACUCACCACUAUAACUGUUCCUCUGUCUGGAGAUACAACUCACCACUAUAACUGUUCCUCUGUCUGGAGAUACAACUCACCACUAUAACUGUUCCUCUGUCUGGAGAUACAACUCACCACUAUAACUGUUCCUCUGGAGAUACAACUCACCACUAUAACUGUUCCUCUGUCUGGAGAUACAACUCACCACUAUGACUGAUCCUCUGUCUGGAGAUGCAACUCACCACUAUAACUGUUCCUCUGGAAAUACAACUCACCACUAUGACUGUUCCUCUGUCUGGAGAUACAACUCACCACUAUAACUGUUCCUCUGGAGAUACAACUCACCACUAUAACUGUUCCUCUGGAGAUACAACUCACCACUAUAACUGUUCCUCUGUCUGGAGAUACAACUCACCACUAUGACUGUUCCUCUGUCUGGAGAUACAACUCACCACUAUGACUGUUCCUCUGUCUGGAGAUACAACUCACCACUUGCCUAAACCAACCUGCCUGGGGAGGCCAACCCCGAGCCCCGGUUUCCUGGCCCCAGAACAGCCUCAAUUCGUCAAGGCAUGGACUCUACGAGGUGUCGAAAGCGUUCCACAGUGAUGCUGGCCCAUGUUGACUCCAAUGCUUCCCACA
ensembl:lncRNA